rnacentral:rRNA from 1 species
GACGAACGCUGGCGGCGUGCCUAAUACAUGCAAGUAGAACGCUGAAGAGAGGAGCUUGCUCUUCUUGGAUGAGUUGCGAACGGGUGAGUAACGCGUGGGUAACCUGCCUGGUAGCGGGGGAUAACUAUUGGAAACGAUAGCUAAUACCGCAUAAAAUUGAUUAUUGCAUGAUAAUUAAUUGAAAGAUGCAACUGCAUCACUACCAGAUGGACCUGCGUUGUAUUAGCUAGUUGGUGAGGUAACGGCUCACCAAGGCGACGAUACAUAGCCGACCUGAGAGGGUGAUCGGCCACACUGGGACUGAGACACGGCCCAGACUCCUACGGGAGGCAGCAGUAGGGAAUCUUCGGCAAUGGGGGGAACCCUGACCGAGCAACGCCGCGGGAGUGAAGAAGGGUGUCGGAUCGGAAAGCUCUGUUGUAAGAGAAGAACGGGUGUGAGAGUGGAAAGUUCACACUGUGACGGUAGCUUACCAGAAAGGGACGGCUAACUACGUG